rnacentral:rRNA from 1 species
GCGUAGGCGGUAAAAGAAGUCAUCUGUGAAAACCUAUUGCUCAACGAUAGGCUAGCGGAUGAAACUGAAUUACUUGAGGGCACCAGAGGUAGACGGAAUUACCCGAGUAGGGGUGAAAUCCGCAGAUACGGGUAGGAACGCCGGUGGAGAAGUCGGUCUACUGGGGUGCACCAGACGCUGAGGCCCGAAAGCUAGGGGAGCAAACCG